AACGCAUAUUGCACUCCUCGGUAUUCCUUGGAGAAUAUCUGUUUCAGUAUCAUAAAGUAAUAUCAAGCUUUUAGGCUUUGUCUUAAUGCUUGGAGGUGGGCUUCGUAGCUUGAUUUUUUCUUUCUACUGGCCUGAAAUUCAUUCGUGGCCGCAUCUUUUUAAAGAUAAAGGCGUCAUAGUUGACUUUUGGUCAUCUUUCGCUGAUUAUUUUUGAAAGUGCAUUAGACUACGUUAAUUUUUUCAUCUACUUGAUCUGAAAUCAGAUAAGACUACCCGCUGAACUUAA
rnacentral:misc_RNA from 1 species